rnacentral:lncRNA from 1 species
UCCACGCCUUUACUUUUAUUUAAAUGUAUGGAGCAGAAUUAAUGCCCAUACAAGCACCUUAACUUUAUGAAUUUAAUUUACCACACAUUUACAUUUAUUUAAAAGGGUGGUGCGGGUUUAUCGUCCACGCCUUUACUUUUAUUUAAAUGCAUGGAGCAGAAUUAAUGCCCAUAUAAGCACCUUAACUUUAUGAAUUUAAUUUACCGCACAUUUACAUUUAUUUAAAGUGUGGUGCGGGUUUAUCGUCCAUACCAGUAAUUUAUUUACCAACAAUUUAUUUUAUGGAUUAAAUGUGCUGUAUGAUGAGUUUUUUUUUUUACAGUAUACAGAUCAGGACCAGAAGUUCCUUGAUCCUCAUCAUACAAU